rnacentral:rRNA from 1 species
UGGGGAAUAUUGCACAAUGGGCGCAAGCCUGAUGCAGCCAUGCCGCGUGUAUGAAGAAGGCCUUCGGGUUGUAAAGUACUUUCAGCGGGGAGGAAGGCGAUAAGGUUAAUAACCUUGUCGAUUGACGUUACCCGCAGAAGAAGCACCGGCUAACUCCGUGCCAGCAGCCGCGGUAAUACGGAGGGUGCAAGCGUGAAUCGGAAUUACUGGGCGUAAAGCGCACGCAGGCGGUCUGUCAAGUCGGAUGUGAAAUCCCCGGGCUCAACCUGGGAACUGCAUUCGAAACUGGCAGGCUAGAGUCUUGUAGAGGGGGGUAGAAUUCCAGGUGUAGCGGUGAAAUGCGUAGAGAUCUGGAGGAAUACCGGUGGCGAAGGUGGCCCCCUGGACAAAGACUGACGCUCAGGUGCGAAAGCGUGGGGAGCAAACA